CCCUGCUCCCAGUAAGAUGAAACUCUUAAGAUUGGACAUGCGACCACAUUUUUAUUUGAUAUGACAUAGGCCCCACACAUUUUGUAGCUGGUUAUGCUGGACUGAAAAUCUAAAGAUCUGUUUGAAGAGAAGAUGGAUGUCCAUGGUCUUCUCAGAAAACUUACUGGUCGUCUGUGCUGGAUGACUCUCAAAAGGUUACUUGCAAAGCUGGGACACACCAGAAAAUGAGGCUUCUCUUAUGGACACACGUUUCAUUCCAGAGCACUGUGCAUGAAGAAACAGGUGUAUCUAGAGUCUAUUUUGGAUUCAAUUUCUUCUUUGUUAAUUUGUCUGAGGGCUUUGCUCUUCAUGUGAAAUGCUUUGGUUUGAGAGUUAUUACACAAGAUUGAAGAAUAAGC
rnacentral:lncRNA from 1 species